rnacentral:rRNA from 1 species
CACUCUCGCAAACGCCCAACCAUGAUCUUCAAACUUGACUUCAGGAAGGCCUUCGAUUCAGUUGCUUGGAACGCCCUAGACAAAAUUCUGGUUGUCCGUGGUUUCUCCCAAACCUUUCGUAGUUGGAUUCAAAAUAUUCUCCAUACUGGCAAGGCUGCCAUCCUCCUAAACAGCAUUCCAGGUCGCUGGACUCCAUGUAAGAAUGGCCUGCGCCAGGGAGACCCGGCCUCCCCCUACCUCUUCCUAAUUGUCGUCGAUCUGCUCCAGCAACUUAUCCUCCAGAACUCCGAUCCCGACCUCCACCACCCCAUUUUUACCCACCUACCCCCUACCAUUCUCCAAUACGCCGACGAUACAUUGAUCAUCGCAGCCGCCUCCCCCGCUGCCGCUGUCACACUCAAAAAAAUCCUUCAGAAUUUUGCUCAGGCUACUGGCCUCACCAUAAACUUCUCCAAAACCACCCUAGCAACCUUGUACGCAAAUGAAAACCUAGCUGCCAGCACUGCCCUCGCCAUGGACUGCACACGCGCUCCCUUCCUCAAACCUACCUUGGACUCCCCCUUGCUCCGACCAAGCCUCCCUCCAAUGCCUUCGCCCCGUUGA